CUGCUUACUUCGGCAGCACAUAUACUAAAAUUGGAACAUACAGAGAUAGUUUGGCUUCUGCACAAGGAUGACACGCACAUUUCUGAAGCAUUCCAUAUUUUU
rnacentral:snRNA from 1 species